GAUGAAGAACGCAGCGAAAUGCGAUAAGUAGUGUGAAUUGCAGAAUUCAGUGAAUCAUCGAAUCUUUGAACGCACAUUGCGCCCUUUGGUAUUCCUUAGGGCAUGCCUGUUCGAGCGUCAUUUAAACCUUCAAGCUAAGUUUGGUGUUGGGUGACUGUCCGCUUCACGGCGGACUCGCCUCAAAAUUAUUGGCGGCCGGUACAUUGGCUUCGAGCGCAGCAGAAACGCGAACUCGGGCCCGUCGUAUUGGCUCCCAGAAGCUAUCUUCACAAUUUUGACCUCGGAUCAGGUAGGGAUACCCGCUGAACUUAAGCAUAUCAAUAAGCGGAGGA
rnacentral:misc_RNA from 1 species